rnacentral:rRNA from 1 species
GUGUCAGCAGCCGCGGUAAGACGUAGGGAGCGAGCGUUGUCCGGAUUCAUUGGGCGUAAAGCGCGCGUAGGCGGCCUCGCAAGUCGGUUGUGAAAUCCCGGGGCUCAACCCCGGGACUGCGUCCGAUACUGCGAGGCUGGAGGUAGGUAGGGGAGAUCGGAAUUCCUGGUGUAGCGGUGAAAUGCGCAGAUAUCAGGAGGAACACCGGUGGCGAAGGCGGAUCUCUGGGCCUUACCUGACGCUGAGGCGCGAAAGCUAGGGGAGCGAACAGGAUUAGAUACCCUGGUAGUCCUAGCCGUAAACGUUGGGUGCUAGGUGUGGGCGGAUAUCGACCCCGUCCGUGCCGAAGCUAACGCAUUAAGCACCCCGCCUGGGGAGUACGGCCGCAAGGCUAAAACUCAAAUGAAUUGACGG